rnacentral:lncRNA from 1 species
GGAACAUCCUGUUCUUAAGGGGAAUGCUUCCAGCAUUUCCUCAUUCAGGAUGACAUUGGCUGUGGGUUUUCCAUAAAUGGCUUUUACUAUUUUGAGGUAUCUUCCUUUGAUGCUUAGUUUACUGAGGGUUUUUAUCAUGAAGGGAUGUUGAAUUUUAACAAAAGGUUGCUCAGCAUCUAUCAAGGCUAUCAUAAGGUUUUUGUUUUUAAUUCUGUUUAUGUCAUGAACACAUUUAUUUAUUUGCAUAUGUUGAAUCAACCUUGCAUUCUAGAAUAAAGUCUUCUUGAUCCUGAUGAAUUAACUUUUGUUGUGUAGGGAUUUUUGCAUCCAUGUUCAUCAGGGAUGUUGGCCUAUAGUUUUCUUUUUCUAUUGUGUCUUUUCCAGGUUCUGGUAUGAAGAUGGCUUCAUAGCAUCAUCCCUCCUCCUGAUGGCUGGAUUCCCUCCUCCAUUUUUUUUUUUUUUGGAAUAGUUUAAGUAGAAUUGAUACCAGCUUUUCUGUUAAAAUUUGGUUGUGAAUCCAUCUGGUCCAGGUUAGUUGUUUUCUGCCUUGUUUCACCCAGGAGAAACCGCGGCUACUGUAGCCUUCCUCCUGCCCCAGACCUGCAACAGGGAAGAGCACGUUCAGGACCUAUUGCUGGGGCACCUUCCACACUUGUCACACAAUUCUGGCUGUUUAGACCCCCACCCUACUUCAGAGCCCCAGUGUUCCAAUCUCUGUCUUGAGACUAAAAUGCCUGUGUGGCCAUGCUGCCAGAUUGCCAAAGAAUGACUUAUUUGUAUAAACCUGGAUUAAAAAUGGUAUCCUGCUGCCAGACCCAGGUGUGGGAAAAUGCCUGUAGAUUUUUCUGGUAUUCUUCCCGCUCAUUGUCUUCAAGCCUCUCCCCAAGUUUGUGCCAGAGCUUGAAAGAAAAGAAGAGUUCUCCCAUGGCCUGCAUUGCACAGAACGCCGGGGGAAAGCAAGGGUCUGCUGCUUCACUCCUGAAGUCAGCUAGACCAUGAACCCACCAGGAGGAACAAACUCUGGACACACCAUCUUUAAGAACUGUAACACUCACUGGGAGGAGCCACAGCUUCAUUCUUGAAGUCAGCAAGACCAAGAACCUACCGGAAGUAACCAAUUCCAGAUACAAUGUCAUACUACAUUUCAACAAACAUUGUGCUACAAUACAAUGCAUUUAAAAUAUUUGGACUUUUUCAAACUUUCAACUUUUAGAAGACUAACAUUUUCUUUAAAAUAUAUGUUGCUUUUCUCUGUUAUUUAUGGGUUAUUUAGCCAACAAUUUGUGAUUGAAGCUGUGUGUCCAAGCAAUUGGAGCUUCUGAAUUUAAUAAAAACAAAUCUUCACCAU